rnacentral:rRNA from 1 species
GAGCGGUAGAGAGAAGCUUGCUUCUCUUAAGAGCGGCGGACGGGUGAGUAAUGCCUAGGAAUCUGCCUGGUAGUGGGGGAUAACGUUCGGAAACGGACGCUAAUACCGCAUACGUCCUACGGGAGAAAGCAGGGGACCUUCGGGCCUUGCGCUAUCAGAUGAGCCUAGGUCGGAUUAGCUAGUUGGUGGGGUAAUGGCUCACCAAGGCGACGAUCCGUAACUGGUCUGAGAGGAUGAUCAGUCACACUGGAACUGAGACACGGUCCAGACUCCUACGGGAGGCAGCAGUGGGGAAUAUUGGACAAUGGGCGAAAGCCUGAUCCAGCCAUGCCGCGUGUGUGAAGAAGGUCUUCGGAUUGUAAAGCACUUUAAGUUGGGAGGAAGGGUUGUAGAUUAAUACUCUGCAAUUUUGACGUUACCGACAGAAUAAGCACCGGCUAACUCUGUG